CUAUUUAAUCACAUAGAAUAUUAAGAAGGUGGACCUACAUCUAUUCCUGAUUUUUUAUAAUCAUUGAUUGAAAAUUUUAAGCUAUAAUCCUUUGGCAAAGUUUUGUUAACAUUGAUGGCCACUUUGUGGGAAUACACUGGAUUUGUUAUUGUUGUUAACAUUGCUGGACAGUUAUAUGCAUCAGAUCGGUAGAUUCCUAACCCGUGCUCUUAUAAUACUCUUGUGAGUCAAAAUAUCCUCUUGAAUAAGGUUUGAAGUUGAUCCCAUCAUCCAAAACAAUUUUUUUUUUUCCCGUUAGUCUAUUAUUUCAAAUCAUUUACGGGAGUUACAUAAUAUGCUUAAUUAGUUGUCCAUAUUGUUUUCUUUCAGGUGAUACUAACCUCACUUUCUCACUUGGAAAUUGGUAACUUCAAGUUCCUGUCCCCUACCAAGGUCACCUAAAAUUUCCAUUGUGGAGAGUGAUGAAUUCAAAAAUCUAGAAGUAGAUCAAAAGGCGUGUUACGAACCAUAACAAGCUGGAUUGGCUGACGUAGUGACACUUCAAAGGCUCGACAAUUCGAGUUCUUCCUAUUGACAUUCUAUAUCUGCUGGUUUUCAUGUGAAGCAUAUUCCUGCCGUUAGCAAUUUGCAGAGUCAAAUCGAUUGCAACCCUGCCAACCCAAUAUAGACCAGAUGGAGUAGCACUGAGCCAUCUUUGAAGAAUGACAUUUCACCAACUGUUAGAAGAUUUAGGGGGUGUGAUAUGUUAGCACUGAUCACCACGGGCUGACAUAUCAUGCUUUGGGGAUUUUUCCAUCUGGUAGGAGCGCUGGCAAGACCUGGGAGUAUGCAUCUGCUCGGGAAGUAGAAGAAAACAUAAAAUGUUUCCUUGAUCAUAUGUAUAAUGACACAAGACUAUAAUAUGCAUUUUGAAAAGCUACGCCUCAAGUGAUUACACCAACUGUAAGCUAACUAACAAAUGACUCAUACAAGCAGUAAUGCAUCUGUAGAUGUUGUGUGCAAAACUCAUGAAAGUAAGAUAUAAGCAAUUAGCACAUUUGUCAGAGGUUGUAUCUUACUAACGCAUCUAAUCGUGUUGAAUAGAAUUUAACUACAUG